rnacentral:rRNA from 1 species
GGCGAACGCUGGCGGCGGGCUUAACACAUGCAAGUCGAACGGCAAGGCACUGCGUUUGUGGUGUGCUCGAUUGGCGAACGGGUGAGUAACACGUGAGUAACCUGCCCUUGACUUUGGGAUAACUUCAGGAAACUGGGGCUACUACCGUAUAGUGUCUCCUGCUGCAUGGUGGGGGGUGGAUAUUUUAGGCGGGUGGGGAUGGACGCGCGGCUUAUCAGCUUGCUGGUGGGGUAGUGGCUUACCAAGGCUUUGACGGGUAGCCGGCCUGGGAGGGUGACCGGCCACAUUGGGACUGAGAUACGGCCCAGACUCCUACGGGAGGCAGCAGUGGGGAAUAUUGCACAACGGGCGGAAGCCUGAUGCAGCAACGCCGCGUGCGGGAUGACGGCCUUCGGGUUGUAAACAGCUUUCGCCUGUGACGAAGCGUGAGUGACGGUAAUGAGUAAAGAAGCACCGGCUAACUACGUG